AUCCUGGGUGCGGGACUGGAGGCUGUCUGCCAAGAAGGGAAGGGACACUCAGAUCCUUCCUCGGACUGAAGCCCGAGAUGGUCAUUUUGUUUGAGGUGAGAGCUCGUUCGGUGGUUGGGGAUACAGCGAGCAACCGCUGACUGUCCUGUUCAAACUGGACGGUGUGGCCUGGCAUUAAGAUGGUGAGGAGUUUUGUCCAUGGAACCUUAUAAGGAAGACCUCUAUAAUAUAGG